rnacentral:lncRNA from 1 species
CAGUAACUCCCUUCUGUGUUUGAGGUGCUUUGCCUUGAAGGACUAGUAAGUGCCUGGAGCUGACCCAAGUUCCAAGCCUAAUCAGAUGUAAACAGACUUAGGGCUCCCAGCAAGUCCAAUUCAAGUCAGCAGAGACUUUGGAUAAACUUCUGGAGGCUCGGGUUAUGAAAGGAAUCAAGGCAGAGUAAAGGAGAAGAACUCCAGCUAGUGCCAGCAUCAUUCCUCCUGGACACAGACGUUGGUGCUUUAUUUUCAAAUUUGAGGAACAGCAACAAGCACGGAUGGACAACAGGACCAUCAAGUAUUAGAGGCAGAAUCCUGUUCAGGAGGAUGCUGCGCUGUAUCUAGACUUCUGAUUUCGCCAACCCGUGAUAACAUUCGUUUCUUCCUUUUACACAAUAUUGUUCUGAGGGAUGAUGGUGAGGGCCACAGCAC